CCUACGGGUGGCUGCAGUGGGGAAUAUUGGACAAUGGACCAAAAGUCUGAUCCAGCAAUUCUGUGUGCACGAUGAAGUUUUUCGGAAUGUAAAGUGCUUUCAGUUGGGACGAAGAACGUGACGGUACCAACAGAAGAAGCGACGGCUAAAUACGUGCCAGCAGCCGCGGUAAUACGUAUGUCGCAAGCGUUAUCCGGAUUUAUUGGGCGUAAAGCGCGUCUAGGCGGUUUGGUAAGUCUGAUGUGAAAAUGCGGGGCUCAACCCCGUAUUGCGUUGGAAACUGCCAAACUAGAGUACUGGAGAGGUGGGCGGAACUACAAGUGUAGAGGUGAAAUUCGUAGAUAUUUGUAGGAAUGCCGAUGGAGAAGUCAGCCCACUGGACAGAUACUGACGCUGAAGCGCGAAAGCGUGGGUAGCAAACAGGAUUAGAUACCCCAGUAGUC
rnacentral:rRNA from 1 species